rnacentral:lncRNA from 1 species
CAGACAGAAGAAAGAAAAAAGCACUCCCCAACUCUCUCCCUCUCUCAGACUGGGCAGAAGAAAGAAAACAGAACAAAAAAAGAAAGAAAGCUCUCUCACUCUCUCGGCCAUAUCCCUCUCUUUGCUCACUUCACACAACACACCCACACACUAUUCAGACACAAGGAGGCAGCAGCCAGUUGGACAAAGAGCUUGGAACUUCCUCAAAAUUUUAGUCAAGGGACCACAACCUCAUUGAGGUAUUUUUUUUCCAGCUUUUCCUUUUUUAAUUAAUUAGAUUAAAUGCAUGUUUGGCUACCUAUUUGUCUCUUCC